rnacentral:tRNA from 1 species
CGGGAAGUAGCGUAAUUGGCUAUCGCGCCUGCUUUGGGAGCAGGAGGUUGUGGGUUCAAAUCCCGCCUUCCCGA